ensembl:lncRNA
CUGACCCUUUACCAUCUUUUUACACAGGACAACUCUGAUAUACUUGGAUAUGUCCUUGGAAUCCUGUCUUUUGUGAUAGCAUAUACAUCUAGAUUUCCUGCACUCUAUAGAACAUGCAAUAAACGAAGGCUGACAAGAGCCCAGCUGUUCUCGGCAGUACUGUGCUCCCUGGCUGGUUCAUGCUAUGCCACUGCCUUACUGCUUUACGACACCAGCAAUGUGUUUAUCUGGAGGACAAUGCCAUGGUUGCUGUCAGCUGUUUUGUGUGCCAUGUUGGACCUUCUUAUGAUAGUCAUUCAUUUGUGCAAAAAACAAAAUCCUGUGGUGUUGUCUCCAGACACAGUUAGUCUUCUGGGAAAAUCAACCAUCGCUGUUAAAGAGAGGCCCAAUGAAGAGAAAAAUCACUCAACACCACAGAUUAAAAAGAAAAAUGCUGAGAAGUUGACUGGGACAGACUGUUACUUGCAUGUGAAAUGUUCAUCUGAAAGUAAAAGCCCUAUUCAGUUAAACUUGUCCAGAACGGUGAAAAAGGAGGGAGAACAUAACAAAGAUGAAGAGUGUCUCUGUUCUUCUGAUACAUCGUUUGACUCAUCUGUCAUCAGCUCAGACCUAGAGUGGGAUUUUGAAGAUGCAAAUGUCCAGUGGUGUGAACCAGCAGCACAGCUCAAGGAUGACAAGUUUCCAUUGCAAGAGUGGCAAAGCAUCCCUUUAACAAAUUAACACUAGACAGAUCAUAAAAUGCAAAAUUAAUUAAAAAAAAA